CCUACGGGUGGCUGCAGUGAGGAAUAUUGGUCAAUGGACGCAAGUCUGAACCAGCCAUGCCGCGUGCAGGAAGACGGCUCUAUGAGUUGUAAACUGCGUUUGUACUAGGGUAAACGCACAUACGCGUAUCUGUAUGAAAGUACCGUAUGAAUAAGGAUCGGCUAACUCCGUGACAGGUGCCGCGGUAAUACGGAGGGUUCAAGCGUUAUCCGGAUUUAUUGGGUUUAAAGGGGUCGUAGGCGGUCGGUUAAGUUAGAGGUGAAAUCCCGGGGCUCAACUUCGUUAUUGCAUCUGAUACUGUUCGGCUAGAGAGUAGUUGCGGUAGGCGGAAUGUAUGGUGUAGCGGUGAAAUGCUUAGAGAUCAUACAGAACACCGAUUGCGAAGGCAGCUUACCGGGCUACUUCUGACGUUGAGGCACGAAAGCGUGGGGAGCAAACAGGAUUAGAUACCCUGGUAGUC
rnacentral:rRNA from 1 species